AACGCACGAGACCUGCGGACCUGCGGAGGGAUCAUUAAUGAGUUGCAAAACUCCCUAAACCAUUGUGAACCUACCUGUACCGUUCCUUCGGCGGGCGGCGUCAAGCCCUAACCCGUCUCCCUUUACGGGGGAUGGACCCGCCGGAGGCUCCUAAACUCUUAACUUUUGUUGGCAUCUCUGAGUAAAUCAAAAUAAGUCAAAACUUUUAGCAAUGGAUCUCU
rnacentral:misc_RNA from 1 species